AUGAGAAAUUCAUAUCAUUCCAAAAUUAGAUCUGAAAAUUUGUCAAAUUUAUUUUUGGGGUGGAUGUUUUUGUGGCAUCGUUGGCCGACUAAAAGGCGACAUGUUCAACAGUUAGGUGUGGCGGAGAUGCGUAUGUUGAGAUGGAUGUUUGGCCACACGAGGAAGGAUCGAGUCCGGAAUGAUGAUAUACGAGAUAGAGUUGGGGUAGCACCAAUUGAGGAGAAGCUUGUCCAACAUCGUUUGAGAUGGUUUGGGCAUAUUCAGCGCAGGCCUCCAGAAGCUCCAGUGCAUAGCGGACGGCUAAAGCGUGCGGAGAAUGUCAAGAGAGGGCGGGGUCGACCGAUUUUGACAUGGAGGAGUCCGUUAAGAGAGACCUGA
rnacentral:rRNA from 1 species